rnacentral:misc_RNA from 1 species
AAGAGAAGAAUAGUGAAGUGAAGAUUCAAAGAGGUACUUUUGAGAGAGUGGAUGUAGGCUAUUUAAGCCGAAUCACUAUAAAAAUUCAGUGUUCUAUUUUCUUAAUCCUAAUUCUUUAAAUUUCUGCAUUUUAUUUUUUGGUUAAGUUAAAAUUGCUGUGCUAUGAUUUGCAUAAGUUUAUUGCUCUAUUGGCUGAAUACCGCUAUAUUCUGUUUGAACAGUAUGCUGAGCAUGGUUUGAGUUAACUCGGCAUAUAUAGUUAAUUUGAGCUUUACACGCACACAUCAUAUUAGAACACUUUGUUGAACCAAGCCACAAUUUUUUAAAGGUUUAGAGCCAGAACCGAAAAAUUGUAUUAGUUUAAUUCAACCCCCCUCUGGGACAUAUUUGGGACAUCAUUGGAGAUUCUCUAAAGAAUGCUAUGUGAUCAUUUGGGCCGCUUUGUCAAUUCAUGAUGUAUAAGAAGUGGUUUUAUUUUUUCUUGGUUUAGGGGACUGUGCUGGUGUAGAUAACUGAGAAUUGAAUCAUAAUUUAUGUUUAGUCAAUCAGAGUCAAUAUUGUUUGAUGGGGAAAAAAGAAGAGAAAAAUAAAAUGUUACUGGUCCUAGUUUUUGUGAAAUAUUUGCGUGCUUUAUCACUACUUGGUCAUUAUGUUAUUUUCUUUGCUAGUUGUUUCAUAGAAACUUGUUUCGACUUUAGCCUGCUAGUUGUUUCAUAGAAACUUGUUUCGACUUUAGCCUGGGUAAAACAUGUGUUUCUUGUUUGUCAUACUUAAUCAUCUAUGAACUUGUUUUUGUGUGUAUUCCUUCUUUAUAAUUUUGCUAUCAUAAUCAAUUCUUAUUUAAAUGUUUUUGGAUGCAGUAUUUGGUGAAAGGGAGCACUAGGAUUGUACUUUCUGAUCUUUUUGUUAAUUGUUUAAGCUAGCAAUACAAAUAUCCCUCUUAAACAAAGAUAAUUUUUAUGGCAUUUUGUAGAUUGAUGCAUCAUUUAGAUUCUGUAUAACAAAAGUAUAUAAUUAUUUCUUUAAUAUCAAUAGAAUACUCUUUGUUAUCUAUGAUGAAUUAGACAGGUUACAUCCAAAUGGCUGAGUGGUCAUCACUGGUUCACUAUCCAAAGUGGCAUCAAUAUUGACUUCUACAGUUUCAGUCCCAGGUGACUAUCAAUGUCAUUGGCCAUAAGUCUAAGUACUUGGUCUGUGUAGCUAUGUGCUUCCAUGGGUCAUCUCCUACCAAUACCCUGUGCUAAGGUCACACCUUGUAGACUUGCAAGGUUAGAGGGGUUGGCCAAAAUCUCCUAGGUGACCCCUGUUUGCCUAGGGACGACCGAAGACCCUUGUCCAACUUCAUCAUUUUCUUUUCUAUUAAGAUUGUAGGUAUUGGAGAAUUUGACUUAAAUUAUUUUGUUGGGUGCAACCAAUUGUAGAAUGCAAAACCAUUUUCACAUUGAUUCGUUCGAGCUUUUGUUUCACAGUAUAUGAAGCGAUAUUAGAGGAUGUAAAUGUGUCAUCAUCUACAGACUAUGAUAAUUGGGAUAAGUUGUUGAGCUUUGUACCAGCAUGGUUAUGAUAUGGUCUAUCAGUUCACCUUCUUUCUCCAGUUGUUAGAGAGAGAAAAUCUCGUGUUUUCUUUUGAUUUCAGAGACCUAGUUUCUCUUCCUUUGCCAGUUUCGUGGCUAUCCCCUAUCUCUCAUGGAUCUUCUUUCCCAGCCCGGACAUGGGUUCCUCUCCACCUCCAAGCAGAGAUUUGUAUAGAUUUUAUUUGGAUUUUUUGAAUGCAGGUUUGCAGUUUUUUUCAAGAGGGUGUUUUGCGCAACUUGUGUGGCUUGGCUGGGAUUGCUCACUCUGGUCUUGCUACUUGGGUUGGGCAUCUUGGGGCCUCAUAGACGUCCUUUAGGCUUUUUGGUCCCUCAAUGGCUAGAUGAGAAGAUGCCAAAGUUCUGCCCUGCCCCUCUGUGCUUCUUAGCUUCCAUGGCCUGUGGUUCUCAAUGAUUUUGGUGCCUAGCUAGUUUGCUUGAUCUUUAAGCGUUGUUAUGCUUAGGGCCUUCUGAAUCAAGCAUUUUAGCCAUGCAUGGCCCUUGGCGGUGUUCUUCAGUAAGCUUAGGCUUCCCUUGGUGAAAGUCUGUCAGACAUGGCUGUGGUGCUGCUCCUCCAUGCUUUCGGGUUCAUGGAUUCGGGCCUAGUACUGGCUCGCCUAGGGUCUACCCUUGUGGACUUUGGGUCUUAUUGUGGUUUGGGUUGGGAAAUUAGCUAGGAUCUCUGUAAUUUGAGCCAUGGGUUUCUCUUUGUAAUGGGCUUUCUAGCCUUUAUUUUUAAUGAAUCUAAACUUAAUUUUUGGAAAAAAA